GGCUCCGUAGUACAAUGGAUAGUAUGCAAGUUUCCGGAACUUGAGAUGUAGGUUCGAUUCCUACCGGGGCUA
rnacentral:tRNA from 1 species